AUGGACUCGGAUGAGGAGGAAGAGCUCGCCGCGCUGCUGGAGGAGGAAGCCGCGGCCGACGUCCAGGAAGAAGAGCAUCUGAUGGUGCUCGCCGCCCUCGCCCAGCUACUGGCGAGCAAUGAAAAACCGCGUCGAGAUGGCUCGGCGCCGGGGCGGGUGAAAGCAAAGAACCGGCAUCGUCUGCAAGGAUUUCCUGGGAUGCUUGGAAGCAUCGACUGCCUGCAUUGGCAAUGGAAGAACUGCCCAUUUGGUUGGCAGGGGAUGUACAAAGGCGCCAAAGGCGGUUGCAGUGUGGUGCUUGAGGCGGUAGCCACACAAGACCUCUGGAUUUGGCACUCCUUCUUUGGUAUGCCAGGAACUCACAAUGACAUCAACGUGUUGCAGUGCUCUCCUGUUUUUGCCAAGCUCGUUGAGGGCCAUUCUCCUCCGGUGAACUUCGAGAUCAAUGGGCACCAAUACAACAAGGGGUACUAUCUAGCUGACGGCAUCUAUCCAAGAUGGUCGACAUUUGUGAAGACGAUCUCAAACCCUGUGGCAGGAGGCAAGAACGCCUGGUUUGCGAAGCUUCAGGAGGCUUGCAGGAAGGAUGUCGAGCGGGCAUUUGGUGUGCUCCAAUCUUGA
rnacentral:rRNA from 1 species